CUUACAGAGUUUCUUGGCAUUCUGUCCACCUCCACUUCCAUUAAUGGAUCUCUCUUUCUCCUACUCUUUUUCUAUACCAUCACUACGCGGAGGUGGACAUGCUGCCAAUAGAGCUCUGUUGG
rnacentral:pre_miRNA from 1 species